rnacentral:rRNA from 1 species
GUGCCAGCCGCCGCGGUAAUACGGAGGGUGCGAGCGUUGUCCGGAAUCACUGGGCGUAAAGGGCGCGUAGGCGGCUUGGGAAGUCCGUGGUGAAAGCUCGUGGCUCAACUGCGAGUCGGCCAUGGAUACUCCUAAGCUCGAGCACUGUAGAGGCAGGUGGAAUUCCGGGUGUAGCGGUGGAAUGCGUAGAGAUCCGGAAGAACACCGGUGGCGAAGGCGGCCUGCUGGGCAGUAGCUGACGCUGAGGCGCGACAGCGUGGGGAGCAAACAGGAUUAGAUACCCGUGUAGUCC